rnacentral:tRNA from 1 species
CCGCGCGAUGCGAGCGGCUUCGAUCCGGUGCCGCUCGAACCGGCGCCGGUGCUGCCGUUCGCGAGCAUUGUCGUGGCGAGCAGC